rnacentral:rRNA from 1 species
AACGAACGCUGGCGGCAUGCCUAACACAUGCAAGUCGAACGAAACCUUCGGGUCUAGUGGCGCACGGGUGCGUAACGCGUGGGAACCUGCCCUUAGGUUCGGAAUAACUCCCCGAAAGGGGUGCUAAUACCGGAUAAUGUCUUCGGACCAAAGAUUUAUCGCCUUUGGAUGGGCCCGCGUUGGAUUAGCUAGUUGGUAGGGUAAAAGCCUCCCAAGGCGACGAUCCAUAGCUGGUCUGAGAGGAUGAUCAGCCACACUGGGACUGAGACACGGCCCAGACUCCUACGGGAGGCAGCAGUGGGGAAUAUUGGACAAUGGGCGAAAGCCUGAUCCAGCAAUGCCGCGUGAGUGAUGAAGGCCUUAGGGUUGUAAAGCUCUUUUACCCGGGAUGAUAAUGACAGUACCGGGAGAAUAAGCUCCGGCUAACUCCGUG